AAAAUGUGGUGAGUUAUUUUUAUUUAUUUAUAUAUUCAGAAGAACGUGAAUAUACGUUUGUACCGAUACACAAUCUAAAGUGAUUGUUAGCACUAAAUUAAAUAUAAUACAAUGAACUGUGAAGAAGUACUGUGUUACACGGAGACUACCUGUACACGAUAAUGUCAAGAGGCUGCUUUUAUAUCUAAAGAUUUAUGUGCAUUAGCACAAAGUUUGAUCCAGUUGAAAUGAGUCAAGUUGAGACUGCUUCACUGAGAAAUCUUUAAUUCUAACUCCAAAUCAUCUGCAAACAUUAAGCUGGGAUUA